rnacentral:rRNA from 1 species
GACGAACGCUGGCGGCGUGCCUAAUACAUGCAAGUCGAACGAAGCUGUUUUAACUGGUGCUUGCACCGACUUAAACAACUGAGUGGCGAACGGGUGAGUAACACGUGGGUAACCUGCCCCAAAGCGGGGGAUAACAUUUGGAAACAGAUGCUAAUACCGCAUAACCACAGAAACCACAUGGUUUCUGUGUCAAAGAUGGUUUCGGCUAUCACUUUGGGAUGGACCCGCGGCGUAUUAGCUAGUUGGUAAGGUAAUGGCUUACCAAGGCAAUGAGACGUAGCCGAACUGCGAGGUUGAUCGGCCACAUGGGGACGGAGAAACGGCCCAAACUCCUACGGGAGGCAGCAGUAGGGAAUCUUCCACAAUGGACGAAGGUCUGAUGGAGCAACGCCGCGUGAGUGAAGAAGGUUUUCGGAUCGUAAAACUCUGUUGUCAGAGAAGAACGUGUGCGAGAGUAACUGCUCGUGCAGUGACGGUAUCUGGCCAGAAAGCCACGGCUAACUACGUGCCAGCAGCCGCCGUAA